rnacentral:tRNA from 3 species
GCCCUCGUAGUGAAAUGGAUAUCACGCGACGCUUCGAACGUCGUAGUCCAAGUUCGAAUCUUGGCGAGGGCACAA